UUGGAGGGCAAGUCUGGUGCCAGCAGCCGCGGUAAUUCCAGCUCCAAUAGCGUAUAUUAAAGUUGUUGCAGUUAAAAAGCUCGUAGUUGAAUUUCGAGAUCAAUUUGUUGGUCGUGCCUCGGUACGUACUGGCAAUUUUGAUUUCUCCCUUCUGAAGAACCAUGAUGUCAUUAAUUUGGUGUCAUGGGGAAUCAGGACCGUUACUUUGAAAAAAUUAGAGUGUUUAAAGCAGGCUCGCGCUUGAAUACAUUAGCAUGGAAUAAUGAAAUAGGACGUUUGAUUUUAUUUUGUUGGUUUCUAGGAUCGACGUAAUGAUUAAUAGGGAUAGUUGGGGGCAUUAGUAUUCAAUUGUCAGAGGUGAAAUUCUUGGAUUUAUUGAAGACUAACUACUGCGAAAGCAUUUGCCAAGGAUGUUUUCAUUAAUCAAGAACGAAAGUUAGGGGAUCGAAGACGAUCAGAUACCGUCGUAGUCUUAACCAUAAACUAUGCCGACUAGGGAUCGGAUGAUGUUAAUUUUUUAAUGACUCAUUCGGCGCCUUACGGGAAAC
rnacentral:rRNA from 1 species